rnacentral:rRNA from 1 species
CCUACGGGGGGCUGCAGUAAGGAAUAUUGGUCAAUGGAGGGAACUCUGAACCAGCCAUGCCGCGUGCAGGAUGAAAGCCCUCUGGGUUGUAAACUGCUUUUAACAGGGAAGAAAAUGCUAUACGCGAUAUAGUACUGACGGUACCUGAGGAAUAAGCACCGGCUAACUCCGUGCCAGCAGCCGCGGUAAUACGGAGGGUGCAAGCGUUAUCCGGAAUCACUGGGUUUAAAGGGUGCGUAGGCGGUUUUAUAAGUCAGUGGUAAAAGGUUGUAGCUCAACUAUAAGAGGUCCAUUGAUACUGUAAGACUUGAAUCGAGUUGAGGUUGGCGGAAUGAGACAUGUAGCGGUGAAAUGCUUAGAUAUGUCAUAGAACACCAAUUGCGAAGGCAGCUGACUAGACUUAGAUUGACGCUGAGGCACGAAAGUGUGGGUAGCGAACAGGAUUAGAUACCCCUGUAGUC